AGCGAACGCUGGCGGCGUGCCUAACACAUGCAAGUCGAACAUGAAAAGGGAAACCUGAGUAAAGUGGCGUACGGGUGAGUCACGCGUAGGUAAUCUACCCCAGAAUCUGGAAUCACCUGCCGAAAGGCGGGCUAAUACUGGAUAGAGCGAGGGAACUCGUAAGAGAGUUUUUCGGGAAAGGGAGCCCGCAAGGGCCUUCGUUCUGGGAUGAGCCUGCGUCUCAUUAGCUAGUUGGUAAGGUAACGGCUUACCAAGGCGAUGAUGAGUAGCUGGUCUGAGAGGAUGAUCAGCCACACUGGAACUGAAACACGGUCCAGACUCCUACGGGAGGCAGCAGUGGGGAAUCUUGCGCAAUGGACGAAAGUCUGACGCAGCCACGCCGCGUGAGUGAAGAAGGCCUUCGGGUUGUAAAGCUCUGUCGGAUGGGACGAACAUCUUCAUAGUGAAUAGCUAUGAGGACUGACGGUACCAUCAAAGGAAGCACCGGCUAACCCCGUG
rnacentral:rRNA from 1 species